UACGGAGGUGCGAGCGUUGUCCGGAAUCACUGGGCGUAAAGGGCGCGUAGGCGGCCUGAUAAGUAGGGGGUGAAAUCCUGCGGCUUAACCGCAGGGCUGCCUUCUAAACUGUCAGGCUAGAGCACAGUAGAGGCAGGUGGAAUUCCCGGUGUAGCGGUGGAAUGCGUAGAGAUCGGGAAGAACAUCAGUGGCGAAGGCGGCCUGCUGGGCUGUUGCUGACGCUGAGGCGCGACAGCGUGGGGAGCAAACAGG
rnacentral:rRNA from 1 species